rnacentral:rRNA from 1 species
UCAGGAUGAACGACUAGCUACAGGCUUAACACAUGCAAGUCGUGGGGCAGCAUGGUGUUGCUGCAACAACCGAUGGCGACCGGCGCACGGGUGAGUAACGCGUAUCCAACCUGGCCCUUAGUAGGGGAUAGCCCGGCGAAAGUCGGAUUAAUACCCUAUGUUUUCCCAUGAGAGCAUUUGAAAGGGAACAAAGAUUCAUCGGCUAGGGGAUGGGGAUGCGUCCGAUUAGCUUGCCGGCGGGGUAACGGCCCACCGGGGCGACGAUCGGUAGGGGUUCUGAGAGGAAGGUCCCCCACAUUGGAACUGAGACACGGUCCAAACUCCUACGGGAGGCAGCAGUGAGGAAUAUUGGUCAAUGGGCGAGAGCCUGAACCAGCCAAAGUAGCGUGAGGGAUGACGGCCCUACGGGUUGUAAACCUCUUUUGUACGGGAAUAAAGUGCGCCACGCGUGGCGUUUUGUAUGUACCGUAAGAAUAAGGACCGGCUAAUUCCGUGCCAGCAGCGGC